UAGGGAAUCUUCCGCAAUGGACGAAAGUCUGACGGAGCAACGCCGCGUGAGUGAAGAAGGAUUUCGGUUCGUAAAACUCUGUUGUUAGGGAAGAAAAAAUGUAUAGUAACUAUAUACAAAAGAGACGGUACCUAACCAGAAAGCCACGGCUAACUACGUGCCAGCAGCCGCGGUAAUACGUAGGUGGCAAGCGUUGUCCGGAAUUAUUGGGCGUAAAGCGCGCGCAGGCGGCUACUUAAGUCCAUCUUAAAAGUGCGGGGCUUAACCCCGUGAUGGGAUGGAAACUGAGAAGCUGGAGUGUCGGAGAGGAAAGUGGAAUUCCUAGUGUAGCGGUGAAAUGCGUAGAGAUUAGGAAGAACACCGGUGGCGAAGGCGACUUUCUGGACGACAACUGACGCUUAGGCGCGAAAGCGUGGGGAGCAAACAGG
rnacentral:rRNA from 1 species